rnacentral:rRNA from 1 species
GAGUUUGAUCUGGCUCAGAUUGAACGCUGGCGGCAGGCCUAACACAUGCAAGUCGAGCGGAAGAAGGGAGCUUGCUCCCGGAUUCAGCGGCGGACGGGUGAGUAACACCUGGGAAUCUGCCUGGUAGUGGGGGAUAACGUUCGGAAACGGGCGCUAAUACCGCAUACGUCCUACGGGAGAAAGCAGGGGAUCUUCGGACCUUGCGCUAUCAGAUGAGCCCAGGUCGGAUUAGCUAGUAGGUGAGGUAAUGGCUCACCUAGGCGACGAUCCGUAACUGGUCUGAGAGGAUGAUCAGUCACACUGGAACUGAGACACGGUCCAGACUCCUACGGGAGGCAGCAGUGGGGAAUAUUGGACAAUGGGGGAAACCCUGAUCCAGCCAUGCCGCGUGUGUGAAGAAGGUCUUCGGAUUGUAAAGCACUUUAAGUUGGGAGGAAGGGUUGUUGGCUAAUACCCAGCAAUUUUGACGUUACCGACAGAAUAAGCACGGGCUAACUCUGUGCCAGCAGCCGCGGUAAUACAGAGGGUGCAAGCGUUAAUCGGAAUUACUGGGCGUAAAGCGCGCGUAGGUGGUUCAGUAAGAUGGGUGUGAAAUCCCCGGGCUUAACCUGGGAACUGCUUUCAUAACUGCUGAGCUAGAGUACGGUAGAGGGUAGUGGAAUUUCCUGUGUAGCGGUGAAAUGCGUAGAUAUAGGAAGGAACACCAGUGGCGAAAGGCGACUACCUGGACUGAUACUGACACUGAGGUGCGAAAGCGUGGGGAGCAAACAGGAUUAGAUACCCUGGUAGUCCACGCCGUAAACGAUGUCAACUAGCCGUUGGAAUCCUUGAGAUUUUAGUGGCGCAGCUAACGCACUAAGUUGACCGCCUGGGGAGUACGGUCGCAAGAUUAAAACUCAAAUGAAUUGACGGGGGCCCGCACAAGCGGUGGAGCAUGUGGUUUAAUUUCGAAGCAACGCGAAGAACCUUACCUGGGCCUUGAACAUGCUGGAG